rnacentral:rRNA from 1 species
CGUGAGGAACCUGUCUUGGAGAGGGGAAUAACACUCCGAAAGGAGUGCUAAUACCGCAUGAUGCAGUUGGGUCGCAUGGCUCUGACUGCCAAAGAUUUAUCGCUCUGAGAUGGCCUCGCGUCUGAUUAGCUAGUAGGCGGGGUAACGGCCCACCUAGGCGACGAUCAGUAGCCGGACUGAGAGGUUGACCGGCCACAUUGGGACUGAGACACGGCCCAG